rnacentral:rRNA from 1 species
AUUGAACGCUGGCGGCAGGCCCAACACAUGCAAGUCGAACGGCAGCGGGGGGUAGCUUGCUACCCCGCCGGCGAGUGGCGGACGGGUGAGUAAUGCCUGGGGAGCUGCCCAAUCGAGGGGGAUACCAGUUGGAAACGACUGCUAAUACCGCAUACGCCCUGAGGGGGAAAGGUGGGGAUCUUCGGACCUACCGCGAUUGGAUGCCCCCAGGUGGGAUUAGCUAGUUGGUGAGGUAACGGCUCACCAAGGCGACGAUCUCUAGCUGGUCUGAGAGGAUGGACUGCCACACUGGAACGGAGACACGGUCCAGACUCCUACGGGAGGCAGCAGUGGGGAAUAUUGCACAAUGGGGGAAUCCCUGAUGCAGCCAUGCCGCGUGUGUGAAGAAGGCCUUAGGGUUGUAAAGCACUUUCAGUGGGGAGGAAAGGGUGGAAGCUAAUACCUUUCAUCUGUGACGUUACCCACAGAAGAAGCACCGGCUAACUCCGUGCCAGCCGCCGCCGUAA